rnacentral:rRNA from 1 species
GGUACUCAGUUCGGAUUGAAGGCUGAAAUUCGCCUUCAUGAAGCUGGAUUCGCUAGUAAUCGCGCAUCAGCCAUGGCGCGGUGAAUACGUUCCCGGGCCUUGUACACACCGCCCGUCAAGCCAUGGGAGCCGGGGGUGCCUGAAGUACGUGACCGCGAGGAGCGUCCUAGGGCAAAACUGGUGACUGGGGCUAAGUCGUAACAAGGUACC